rnacentral:rRNA from 1 species
UGGUGGAGUGAUUUGUCUGGUUAAUUCCGUUAACGAACGAGACCUCGACCUGCUAAAUAGUUCGGCGAAUUCUUCGGGAUUCGUUCGUUGACUUCUUAGAGGGACUAUCGGUGGGUAGCCGAUGGAAGUUCGAGGCAAUAACA